AGAAGGGACACAACAAUUUCAGGUCCCCUUUUCUAAACACAGUGCUCUUUUCACUUCAAAGGUCGUGGAGAUGACCGAGUGCAAAGAGGUUCACAGUAUUUGGGGUUAUUUAUGCAACUUGUUGUGGACAUACAAUUUAAGCUUGACCAGUCUGAUCACAGUGGAAUGAGCCCUGGCUAAGUGGUAGGGAUUAAUCUGCCAGGAGACAGUCUUCGAUAAAUUAUUUGGUAUUCCUUUUAGCCUACUUUACAAAUGACGGAGCCCAGAGAUGCUGAGUAAAUUGCCCAGGACCACACAACUGAUAAGGGGCAGAGAGAGACAAGACUCAAUCCAAGUUCAGUGACUCCACAGCUUGGACUUGCUCCUCAGUGCCCAGCAGUAUAGUUGGUAUAUCAUCACCAUUAACAUCACCAACAUCAAAUAUUAAUGGAGCUGCUUCUACCCACUGUCAGUGAUCUUCUCAGUGCUGGAAACUCAGAAAUGUAAGGUGUGGCUUUGUAAUGACUGUUCAGGACUGAUGCAUGUAUUUCAGGCUGUUGGGAGUAUCAGUAUCCACUGUAGCACCCCUCACUGGGGACUACCUUCAGCUGCAGGGAACUGCCCUGCCCAAGGUUACAGAGGUAACCCAGAGCCAGUGAUGGGAUUACUGAGGAAAACAAUACUACAGACUCCUUUGUCUCAAUUUUAGUCAACUCUAAAGAUCCAUGCAGCCUCAGAGAUCCUGCAAUGGUCAUCUGAGGCCUCACUUGUAACUGCACUACCAUUCAGCUUCUCACUGUGCCCAGUACUACCUUGCUUGCUUCUGUACUUUAAAGGCAUCGCCCAAGACUCCUCUCCAAUAAAACUUUGGCGUGCAACUCCCCGUCUCACAGUCUGGUUCCAGGGAACCCAAUAUCUGUCCGUGCUGC